rnacentral:rRNA from 1 species
AUGCUGGGGGACCUGACGCAGCACGCCGCGUGAUUGAAGAAGGCCUUCGGGUUGUAAAGAUCUUUAAUUGGGGACGAAACAAAUGACGGUACCCAAAGAAUAAGCUCCGGCUAACUACGUGCCAGCAGCCGCGGUAAUACGUAGGGAGCGAGCGUUAUCCGGAUUUACUGGGUGUAAAGGGCGAGUAGGCGGGACGGCAAGUUGGGAGUGAAAUCUGGGGGCUUAACCCCCAAACUGCUUUCAAAACUGCUGUUCUUGAGUGAUGGAGAGGCAGGCGGAAUUCCCAGUGUAGCGGUGAAAUGCGUAGAUAUUGGGAGGAACACCAGUGGCGAAGGCGGCCUGCUGGACAUUAACUGACGCUGAGGAGCGAAAGCGUGGGGAGCAAACAGGAUUAGAUACCCUGGUAGUCCACGCCGUAAACGAUGGAUACUAGGUGUGGGAGGUAUUGACCCCUUCCGUGCCGGAGUUAACACAAUAAGUAUCCCACCUGGGGAGUACGGUCGCAAGGCUGAAACUCAAAGAAAAUUGACGGAACUCUUGGAGUUGAC